rnacentral:rRNA from 1 species
UGGGGAAUCUUCGGCAAUGGACGAAAGUCUGACCGAGCAACGCCGCGUGAGUGAAGAAGGUUUUCGGAUCGUAAAACUCUGUUGUUAGAGAAGAACGUUGGUGAGAGUGGAAAGCUCAUCAAGUGACGGUAACUACCCAGAAAGGGACGGCUAACUACGUGCCAG